rnacentral:rRNA from 1 species
AGGGCACCACCAGGAGUGGGGCCUGCGGCUUAAUUUGACUCAACACGGGAAAUCUCACCAGGCCCGGACACCGGAAGGAUUGACAGAUUGAGAGCUCUUUCUUGAUUCGGUGGGUGGUGGUGCAUGGCCGUUCUUAGUUGGUGGAGCGAUUUGUCUGGUUAAUUCCGAUAACGAACGAGACUCUGGCCUACUAACUAGACGAUAUAUCCUUUAUGGGUUUAUCGCAGCUUCUUAGAGGGACGGGCGGCGUUUAGCCGCACGAGAAUGAGCAAUAACAGGUCUGUGAUGCCCUUAGAUGUUCUGGGCUGCACGCGCGCUACACUGAAGAAAUCAGCGUGUGCUCCCUACCCGAAAGGGUUGGGAAACCCGUUGAACCUUCUUCGUGAUGGGGAUUGGAGAUUGCAAUUAUUCUCCAUGAACGAGGAAUUCCCAGUAGGCGCGAGUCAUAAGCUUGCGUCGAUUACGUCCCUGCCCUUUGUACACACCGCCCGUCGCUACUACCGAUCGAGUGAUUUAGUG